rnacentral:misc_RNA from 1 species
UCACUACUUGCGUAGGCAGUCUCCCUAGAGUGCCCAGCAUAACCUGAUGGCAACUAAGGACAGGGGUUGCGCUCGUUGCGGGACUUAACCCAACACCUCACGACACGAGCUGACGACAGCCAUGCAACACCUGUGGCCAGGCCCCUUGCGGGGGACAACGUUUCCGCUGCUUUCCUGGUCAUGUCAAGUCCUGGUAAGGUUCUUCGCGUUGCGUCGAAUUAAACCCCACGCUCCGCUGCUUGUGCGGGCCUCCGUCAAUUCCUUUGAGUUUUAGCCUUGCGGCCGUACUCCCCAGGCGGGACACUUAAUGCGUUAGCUUCGGCACUGGCGGGGUUGAUACCACCAACACCUAGUGUCCAUCGUUUACGGCUAGGACUA